AGCCAUUAGAUGAUAUUACAUGGUUUUACCUGCCCAAUGUUAUAUAUGAAUGGCCGCGGUACUCUGACCGUGCUAAGGUAGCGUAAUCAGUUGACCUUUAAAUGAGGUCAGGAAUGAAUGGAAUAACCGGGUUUAGCUGUCUCUGUGUCAAUAUAUUGAAUUUACUAUCUAAGUGAAAAAGCUUAGGGUUAAAAAAGGGAGGAGAAGACCCUUAGAAUUUUUUUUAAAAGGAAAUAAAAUUUUCUUACAAUUUUAUUGGGGCGAUAAAGAAAUAAUUAAAACUUUCUUUUAUUACAAGCCGAUUAUAUUAAGUGAGAAUAAAUUACCUGAGGGAUAACAGCAUAAUUCUAUAAAUGAGUUUGUGACCUCGAUGUUGGACUAGGAAACUAGCAGGCUAGCCGUUUGCUGUGUUAGGUU
rnacentral:rRNA from 1 species